rnacentral:lncRNA from 10 species
CAGUGCUUAACACCCCUGGGGGUAGGAGUGAGAAGAAAGGCUGUGAACCAGAUGCCAGCAUCUUUGAUGAAUGAGUACAGGAGAGCAAAGAGAUGAGAAGACAAGCACAGAGCUCAAGUGAUUUGCCCAAGGUCACAAAGCAGGCUCCCAGGGUGAUUUGAGAGUUGCCAGGAGAGGAAGGCCAUUUGGCAAGAAUCCUGACAGACAAAAGCUGGAGGAGGGUAGAGCAAGAUGGCAGAAUAGAAAGCGCCACCGAUCAUACUCCGCCCCCACAAGGACACCAAGUUAACUACCUACACAGAAGAAAUACCUUCAUAAGAAUCAAAAAUCAGACACACCCUGGGCCAGAAGAGAACCCACUUCCUUGAAGGAAAGGAUCCAGUCCUGGCAGCAUUCAUCGCCUGCUAACUGAAGAUCCCUUGGGCCUUGAAUACCAACAGCAAUACCCAGAUUUGAUGAAAAAGAAAAUGUGUCCAACUGCAUCCAGUUGAAAACUUCAGUUAUUAAGGGUAUUAAGAAUCAAUUGAUAGAGCAAUUUCCAGGUAUUGAACCAUGGCUUAAUCAAAUCAUGCCUAAGAAAGAUCCUGUCAAAAUAGUCCG